UUAAAUACAUUUUGACAGAGUAACAGCAGGAGGCUUGUUGACCUUUCACCUCGUAUUGAUUUCCCCUUCAGUCGUUUUCCUUGGUGAUUUCCACUUUUCCUGCAUAUAUUUUGCCCCCCAGUCCACUCUCCACAUGCCACUUCCGUAAUCACUUGCGAUGGAAACCCACACAAAGCCCUGAGCUACACUGACACUUUGGGAGAACCUUGAAAAUAAAGCAGCCACAUCACUCACGUCUAUCAAUAAGUUCCUCAGUUGGCAAAUAUUUUUAUAAAACAUAGACACACUUGCCAUCUCAAUGAUGCAGCUGAGCACAUGAACACUUGGGUGAGUCAAAAUGAUUAUUAAUUAUUAUUCAUAUGCUCAUCAAUUCCACCAGCAUUGAUCAGUGGGCCAAUCUAGUUAUGACACCAAAAUGGAGACCCAAGAAAUAGAAAGGAGGUGAAGAGCAACCUUCUCGCAAUCUAGUAAUAGAAAAAUCCCAUGUAUACAAAACAAUCAGGAAAAAAAUCUCACGGUAAGAAAUAAGUAACUAGGGUGUCAUUUAGAGGUGCCAGGCAGUUGAAAUUAAGUGAGGAAUCUGAGUGAGCUUACUUAACCCUAAAAGAAUCAAGAAUAAAACUAGAAGUGGCUAGAGUUGUUCUGAUUUUGUUUUCUGAAAAGCAUGAUUAUAUAUCUUAUCUGUUUUCAGUAAAGAAUAGUCAGGGGAUAUGCAACAGUAGAUGUUAAUAAGCAGGCUCAGACUCAGUAACCCUGCAACAGAAGCUCUAGUGAAAAGGCAGAGAUGGCCAGGGUAGGGAGGGAAGGACAUGUAAGUUGUAAAAGUACUUUAAAAAUAAUCUGCAUCCGGGCAC
rnacentral:lncRNA from 1 species